ACCCAACGAACAGAGAGAGAGAGAGAGAGAGAGAGAGGAAAAGAGAGAGAGAGAGAGAGAGAGAGAAAGAGAAAACGACAGACAGAGAGAGAGACUCUGACCUCUGAGUCUCUGACAGAUAACAGCGGCGGAUAUCGCGAGCGGACGAAUUAGGUUACCACGAACUAGGACGGACCGGACCGCCCGCUACAGAUACGGCAAACCUGACCCGCUGCUAGUUGCUGACAUACGGAGCUUCGCAGCAGCGCCGCCGCCUCACCUGUGGCAGCACCGUUGCGUCGUCGCGAGGCACCGGCCCGCGCGCGUGAACGUGCACUUCGUAUUACACGCCUCCCAGUGGUAAUCCCCGCGCACACAAACGAACGUGGUCGAUCGCACGCACGGCAAGAGCAAAAAAGUGACCGACGAUCGUAGACUGACACCCCUCCUUCUUCAUCGGGAAUCGGCGAGCCGACGGCAGCCGUGGAGACAGUCUAGCCACCCGAUAAGAGACGAGCGCUGAGGCGACGUGUCGCGGGUGCGCGCUUACUUAAUUUCGCCUCGCUGCGACAGGCGGCUCUCUUAUCGCUCCAGUUCAUCUCACCUCCCUCCUCGAGCUGUCGUUUUGCCGAUAACUGCAUCUAUAUCUACAGCGAGAGACAACGACGAGACUUUGGUGCUGCUGCUGCUAGCUGUCGUCUGCGCGCGUGUGUAGGCGAGGACUACGGUGCAGAGCACUACGACAGCGAGUGU